rnacentral:rRNA from 1 species
UCCUACGGGGGGCAGCAGCCGCGGUAAUACGGAGGAUCCAAGCGUUAUCCGGAUUUAUUGGGUUUAAAGGGUGCGUAGGCGGAUUGAUAAGUUAGAGGUGAAAUGUCCGGGCUCAACUCGGGAACUGCCUCUAAUACUGUUGAUCUAGAGAGUAGAUGCGGUAGGCGGAAUGUAUGGUGUAGCGGUGAAAUGCUUAGAGAUCAUACAGAACACCGAUUGCGAAGGCAGCUUACCAAUCUAUAUCUGACGUUGAGGCACGAAAGCGUGGGGAGCAAACAGGAUUAGAUACCCCGGUAGUCCAGAUC